CGCACACCCCAAUCUCCCUAGCGCUGUGGGGGUGGCUGCAGCUCCCCGCGCGCUCCCUCCUUUGGGGGGGUUUCUGGGCUCGUGACUUUUUUUUAAAUAAAGAAUGAGCGGAUGCCCGUGACAAGUUAAUAGCUCUCGCCGCGCUCUAAAGUUAAGUUGUAUCUCCUUCCCGCCGCGAGUCUCCUUCCACAGACCCGCCGGAGCUGCCGGGACGGGCGCUGCGCGGGACUGGGCGUUAGGUGCUCCCGGCUGGUUCCGGCGAGCAGCCCCCACCCCUCGCCCACGCUCGGGGUUAGAGACCCCAGCACCCCACGCAGACGGCCCGGGCUUAGACCUCUCCACGUCGCUGUGGCGCGCGCCCCGCCAACACCCCCACCCCACGCGCAGCCCGUGUCUUCUUUACCCCCGCGCACUUAACGCAGGGCGCACGCACGCAUCCCGGCCCCCUCACACUCACACUGCGUCUUCUGUCACACCCCCUGUCGCACACACACUGUUCUCUGACUCCCACCAUCUCCUGUCUCACACCCACUCCAGUUUCGUGUUGAGCGGCCGCCAGUUCUCCCUCGGUCGCGCCGGCGCACGCUCGUCCCCUUCUGCCCCGGAGCCCGCCCGCGCCGCACGGUGGCCCCUUGCGCUGGCCUGAUCGUGGGAACCAGGCGGGGCCCCAGCGUCCCUGCCCCUGCCCGGUCAUCCAUCUCCCUCCCGGUCGGCCAGCCGAGACUUCAAAGGCGCCUCCUCCGGCCGGGCCUGCCAAACCCCGACGCAGCCUGGAUGUGGGCCGGGGGCGCUCCCCGGCGGGGGGAGGCCGGGCCAGGGCGCGUCUGGGGCCGGCUCCGUCCUUAGUGCGGCGGCGGCGGACUCCAGAGCUGACCGCGGGGCCACCCCCGCCGCGGCCGGGCCACGCGCGGGCCACCCGGGAGCUUCUACCAGCCCAGCGAGCACGCGCCGGCGGGAGGGGGGCCUCAUUUUCAUGGCAAGGGAAAUCCGGAUAAGGAUGGACUCCUUUCGGAGGAGAAUGGGAACGCGCUAGUCCUGGUGCCUGACCCUCUCUCCUAAAGAAAAUGAGUCUCCCCUGGAGCUUAAGCCAUAUUUCCUUCGCCUCCUUUCCUCCUUCCCAUUCGGACACCCCUAAUUGACAGGCUCUAAUCCUCGGAUCAGAACUACUUCUGCCUGGAAGAUUUGGCCGGCUUUUCCUUUUCUCUCAGCGUUCCUGCAAAGCCAAUUCGUUCUGAGCUGCACUGAUGGCGGGCUGAGGGAGGAGGGCUACUUCCAACUUCUGGCACCACCUGGGUGGUCGCCGUAACCGAGUGAUUCCUUUACAGCUAUUUAUAAUCCUUAACUUUAUGAAGGUUCUUUUGCUUAGAAGAGUUAAAGAAGGUUUAAGUAUUCUAUUUUGGCACUGAUGUGGGGCAUAGUCACUGAAUGAUAUUUAUCUAUAUUCAACUAGACUAUGAAUUUUUUGAGCAUAGGGGUGUGUUAGUUCGCAGGCCGCAGAUUCUAGCAUAGGGCAUGGCAAAUAAAUUGUAGCUGUGCAAUCAAUUAUGUUGAAUUCAAAUGAACCAGCUUUUUGCAUGGAGCUUUCCAAACACUUUAUCAUACUUAAAAAUGUUAUGUAAAGCUUUCCAAGAAGGAAGGAAAACAGAAGGAGAAAAAGAAACGGAGGAUGCAAGAAGGAAUCCCAGAAUCAUUUCAGAUCCUUUGAAAGAAAGAGGUUAGAUUUAAAUCUCAAAGCUAAACCAGACAGAUCUGCAUAUCUGAGAACACAGAAGCCCUAAAACCAAUAUUAAACAUCAUCUCAAGUUCAUAGUGUUUUCCUGGCUAACAAUGCUAGCUUCUCUUAAUGUCCACAUUGCCUUUAUGAGCUGUAAUACUCACUGCGAAGGUCUGCAGCUUCACUCCUGAAGCCAGCGAGACCACGAACCCACCGGGAGAAAUGAACAACUCCACACGCGCGGCCUUAAGAGCUGUAACACUCACGGCAAAGGUCCGCAGCUUCACUCCUGAGCUAGCGAGACCACGAACCCACCAGAAGGAAGAAACUCCGAACACAUCCGAACAUCAGAAGGAACAAACUCCAGACGCGCCACCUUAAGAGCUGUAACACUCACCGCGAGGGUCCGCGGCUUCAUUCUUGAAGUCAGUGAGACCAAAAACCCACCAAUUCCGGACACAGUAUUAGCCGACUUUCCCAUUUUCCCCCAGUUUCAUGAAUAUGAAGUGGAUGGUACAUCACUGUAAUUUACUCUUUCCUAGAAUUUUACCUUUUCCCUGAAUUUUACUUAUUCAAGGCUUUUAAAAUUCUCUAAACCAGUAUUGUUCAAUAGAACUUUCUUGCCAGGGUGGAAAUGUUCUCCCUUUGAUGGGUUUCUUUCCACUUUAGUGAGUCCUCUAAACUGCCAUCCAUUUUCCUACAAAGGAAAUCUGAUCAUGUCAACUAAACUUUAAAAUGUGACAAAACUGGAAAAAGUUUAGAUUAUCUGUGGUUUAUUUAUUGCCUACAGGCUGCACCAAAUUAUAAAGCUUGGACCACAAGGGUUUUAUAUCCAGCUCUGCUCUGUAUUUCCACCUUUAUCUCCAGGCUCUGAAUCCCACAUGCUCUGUGCUGAACUUCUUACUCAAAAAACACCAUAUCCCAGCUCUCUGAACCUUGUACUUGCAGGCCUCUCUCCUUGGUUUGCAUUUUUUCUUCCCUCACUUGCUACUCAUGCUUCUUUCCUAGCAUGCCUCCUCUACCAGAAUGAGCUUCAUGGGGAUGAAAGACUUUUCUUAUUCAUUUUUGUAUCCCUAGUAUCCACCCUGGUGCAAGCAAAAUAGCUGGGGUGCAAUAUUUGUUGAACGCGUGCAUGAAUGAGUGAGCGAAGUGUACUACCAAAAAAAAUGGCUGAAGGAGAAAAAUAUAGAAUACAGUAAAUAACUCUAAAACAACAGCCUUCUAUCAACCAUAGGCUAUAGGUAAUUCAAAAUAGGUAAUUCUUAUAUUAAACUGUAUUCUUUUCCACUGACCUUUUAAUUUAUUAUGGGUUAGUAUUAUUCCUCCUAGUUAACAAAGAAAAACUUUCCCAAAACCUGUCACUGAAGAAUGCUUCAGCUACAAGAAGCAGAGAAACAAAAUCAAAAGAACAAGCACGUAAAACCUGAUGACCAGUAGCUUAAACAAACAUUUUUUUUUUUUCCAAUUCAUAAGAAGCCUGAGGAGACUGCAACUGGGACAGACUGUGGCAUCUCUGCUAAGCUCUGACCUUUUCCUUCCUGUCACAGAGCUGCUGCUGCUCCUGACAGAUCCAUAUUGAAUGAAGAGGAGAAAGAAGGAACAAUGCCAGCUUGACUAUCCCUUAUGAAAGCAAAAAUGUUCCCACAACACCCCAUCACAGCAGACUUCUUAUAAUUUUAUUGGCCAAAAUUGGGUAAAUGGCCACUCCUAGCAUCCAAGGAGGUACAGAUGACCUUCACAGUUAUGAGCCAAUGAAUGGGACGCAUUGCCAGCACAAGGCAAAGAGGGUUUUGUUAGUGAGGAAGAAAGGCUAAUAGUGGAUAGUUAGCAAAGCAUCUUCCAUAAAACAAGACCCAGCAUUUAAAACGUUAAAACCAAAUAUCUGGUCUAAUCUCAUGUUUUAGCCACUCCCAUUCCACCUCCCAGAAGGCAUAGAGGCCUGAAGACUUAAAAUGUCCCAAGAUGUACUAUAGGACUUUCGGGCUUUUGACUUGCAGACCCUGUUUCCCUUUAACAAGAAGAAAAAAAAAAAUAGGGGGUGGGGGAACUAAAAAUAGGCAUAGUGAAAAGGAGGAAUUAUAAAAUUGGAUUCAAGAAGUUGCCUCUAUACCAGGGCUGCUACUUCAGAUUGCUUGAAUUGGGUCCUUCUUACUGUGACCCACUGCUCACAGAACUGGACAUUCAGCGUUUACCUUUCUAAGACAUCACAGUGCACACAAAUCAAGGAGACAGACAGCAAUGCUGCAGCAGGGCAGGAGGAACAUGGAAUUAGGCUGAAGGGUAAACAUCAGGGUUCACCAUCGAUCUAUCUAUUUAUUUCAAGUGCCGUGACUGGAUCCCUGAAUGCAAAAUAUUUGGGUCAGAUCCUGGAGUAAAUAAGGCAUUAAUUGGCAGCAGCUUAGAUGACUAAAGUGGAGAGAAAUGUAUGAAAGGUAGAUUAUAAAUACACUAUAUCCUUUUUGUAUGUUGCUGACAGUGCUGGCAAGGUAAUACAAUUUUAGGAUAAUGAAAAGGGAUAAAAUAAGAACAUUAUUUCUUGAUAAUUUCCAAGAAGAUAUGAACCACUUGUUGUAUAUAUGUCCUAUAUGCCUCACGUGAACUUCCUACCUUUUCAGUUUCUCCAAAUUUUAUCUCCUUUUUAAGUCUCUGCAAUUUACUACUACAACUCAUUUGUUCAUUCAUCUUUUAACAAGUAACUCAAGUUCCAUUUGAGCAAGUUCCUAGCACCAUAAACAAACCAACUCUGGAGAGUGAAUUUGGAAGAAUGGAGGACACUGUCUGCUGGAUAAAUAGUGUUACGGACUGCAUGUUUGUAAUCUCCCAAAAUUCAUAUGUUGAAACUUUAGCCCCCAGAGGAAUGGUAGUAAGACAUGGUGUCUUUGGCAGGUAAUUAGGUUUAAAUGAGAUCAUGAAGGUGGAGUCCUCAUAAUAGGAUUAGUAUACUUAUAAGGAGAGAAACAGACUAGCACUUGCAAUCUCUGCCAUGUGAGGACACAGCAAAAAUACGUCUGUCUGCAAACCAGGAAGAAGGGACUCACCAAGAACCCAACCAUGAAGCACCCUGAUCUUGAACUUCCAGCCUCUAGAACUGUGAAAAGUAAAUAUUUGUUGUUUAAGCCACCCAGUCUAUGGUAUUUCUGUUAUAGCAGCCCUGAUUGACUAAAAUAAAUAGGGAUUUUUAAAAAAUGGCUACAUUUGCUUAUGAAUGAAUUGAUAAUUACUUUCCCUCCA
rnacentral:lncRNA from 10 species